GGCCCUGGUGCCUCCCAGAGAGAGUGACGCUUUUUGUUGAGUGCCUGAGCUGGUAAGGGUGAUUGUCCGCGGCCGUGAGGUGGUUUGUCAGCAUAGUCCCCGGGACUCCUGGGAGGUCUCAACAGGAGAUCCUCAGCCCAUUUUACAGAUGGGGGCAGCUGAGGACCCGAGGAAAGAAGUUCUAUUACCUCAAAAUGGCUCAGCUCACUAGGAGCAGAGACUGGAUUUAGGUCAUGGGAAAAGUGUUCAAAUGACCAGGAAGAGGCAGGAAUGGGGCCCAAGGAAAUGGAUCAUGACACCCCCGCUAAAGACAAAGUUCAACUCUGCUGCUGUCUGGCUCCAGCACUCCAAUAAGCAAAGAGUCAGGACCUGCUAAGCUGGUUGGAACAGGACUUCAUGGUGUAACUCAUGAGAGACGACUCAAUGCCAAAGACUGAGGUUACAGCAGGGUGUUUACAGCAGUGGCCAUACUCCAGAGUUCUUGACAACAGGUUUUGAG